AGGAUGAACGCUGGCGGCGUGCUAACACAUGCAAGUCGAACGCGCAGCACCCUUCGGGGUGUGGGCGAGUGGCGAACGGGUGCGUAACACGUAGGAACCUGGCCUGGAGUGGGGGAAAACGGCUGGAAACGGUCGCUAAUCCCGCAUGAGCUCGCCUUCGGGUGAGGAAAGCUUUAUGUGCUCCAGGAUGGGCCUGCGGCCUAUCAGGUAGUUGGUAGGGUAACGGCCUACCAAGCCGACGACGGGUAGGGGGCGUGAGAGCGUGGCCCCCCACACGGGAACUGAGACACGGUCCCGACGCCUACGGGCGGCAGCAGUGAGGAAUCUUGCGCAAUGGGGGCAACCCUGACGCAGCGACGCCGCGUGCGGGAAGAAGGCCUUCGGGUCGUAAACCGCUUUUCUGGAGGAAGAGGAAGGACGGUACUCCAGGAAUAAGUCCCGGCUAACUACGUGCCAGCAGCCGCGGUAAAACGUAGGGGGCGAGCGUUAUCCAGAAUCACUGGGCGUAAAGGGCGUCUAGGCGGUCCAGUAAGUCCUGCGUGAAAGCUCCCGGCUCAACUGGGAGAGCGCGUGGGAGACUGUUGGGCUAGAGACUCGGAGAGGGGUGUGGAAUUCCCGGUGGAGUGGUGAAAUGCGUUGAGAUCGGGAGGAACACCAGUGGCGAAGGCGGCACCCUGGCCGAGUUCUGACGCUGAAGCACGAAAGCGUGGGGAGCAAACAGGAUUAGAUACCCUGGUAGUCCACGCCCUAAACUAUGGACACUAAGUGCCGGCGGGUUACCGUCGGUGCCGCAGCUAACGCAUUAAGUGUCCCGCCUGGGGAGUACGGCCGCAAGGUUG
rnacentral:rRNA from 1 species